rnacentral:lncRNA from 1 species
UUCCAGUAGUAGCGCUCGGUAGUUUCUGCGCUCCAGGUCCACUACCUGUUGAAACUCGACUUCCAGGACAAGCGCUACGUAAUUCUGGCUGUCCAGGUUCUUGACCUGGUGAUUUUUGACCUUCCGGACUAAUUUUCAAGUUUACAAGUUUGAUUAUUGAAAACGUCAUGUUUUGUACCAUCAAACCAAAAUGCAUGUUUCAGAUAACACUUUGAAUCGGAAAAAACCGAGCGACCAGGACCAACAAAUUGCAAUUGACAAAAAUUACGCACUCCAUCUUUCCGGCCAAUUCGAGAUUCCAGCGACGAGGUGUUUCGAUGACCAACUAAUGACUUCGCCAUUUUGCGACAAUUGAUGUAUUCGAGGUAUGACCCGAGGUGGUUGGAGGUGGUCGGAAGUGUUUAAGGGAGGUUGCGGGGGAUCGAGGUGGAUGAGGAGAAGGACGGAAAGGAGGAGGAGGAGAUAGAUGAGGAGAAAAAAGUGGACGAGGAGGACGAGGAUAACGAGGAUUUCUGCACUUGAUCGAGGUAUAACCCGAGGUGGUUAGCCGUGGUCGUUAGAGGUGGUUGGCAGCGGUUGGAGGUGAUCGGAGGUGGACGAGGAGGAGGACGAGGAAGACGAGGAUUUGUGCUCGGUAUAACCCGAGGUAGUUCGCGGUGGUUGCGGGUGAUCGAGGUGGGCGAGGAGGAGGACGAGGAUGACGAGGACUUGUACACUGUGAGUAUAACAUUUUUAUUAUAUUCAUUAGAGUAGGAGUAGGAUCAGGAGUAGGAGUAGUGGGAGUUGAAGUAGAAGUGGUAGAA